GACGAACGCUGGCGGCGUGCUUAACACAUGCAAGUCGAACGGAAAGGCCCUGCUUUUGUGGGGUGCUCGAGUGGCGAACGGGUGAGUAACACGUGAGUAACCUGCCCUUGACUUUGGGAUAACUUCAGGAAACUGGGGCUAAUACCGGAUAGGAGCUCCUGCUGCAUGGUGGGGGUUGGAAAGUUUCGGCGGUUGGGGAUGGACUCGCGGCUUAUCAGCUUGUUGGUGGGGUAGUGGCUUACCAAGGCUUUGACGGGUAGCCGGCCUGAGAGGGUGACCGGCCACAUUGGGCCUGAGAUACGGCCCAGACUCCUACGGGAGGCAGCAGUGGGGAAUAUUGCACAAUGGGCGGAAGCCUGAUGCAGCAACGCCGCGUGCGGGAUGACGGCCUUCGGGUUGUAAACCGCUUUCGCCUGUGACGAAGCGUGAGUGACAGUAAUGGGUAAAGAAGCACCGGCUAACUACGUG
rnacentral:rRNA from 1 species